CUGAAUACAAUGUCUUCAGUUUUACUAUCAUUCUUCUGUGGUACAGUUGCUGCAAACCAAGUAGUGUUGCACAUUUUCAAGGUCGGUACCACAUAAGUUGAGUGUUGAGUCAUCUGCAUGUAGCACUGCAUCACAUGGUACAAUUGUGGGUAAAUCAUCUAUGUUAAUAAUGAAAAGGAAAGGUCCAAGAACAGAUCCUUGAGGUACAAUCUUUACAACUGGAAGGUGUUCUGACAUUUUAUUAUUUACCUUAACUAACAGUUUUCUGUUGUCCAAAUAAGACUGCAUUAGCCACUCUGUAGUUGUAGAGUUUUUUAUGAGAAUAUUGUGGGAGACCACAUCAAAAGCUUUCCUAAUGUCCAACAGUGUUGCACACAUAAAAUGUUUAUUUUCAGAACAAUUGUACAUUUUUGCUACCAUGCUGUUAACUGCCUUGACUAUAGAAAGGCUGGGUGUGAAACCAUACUGUGAGGAGUUCCUGUCUCAUCCACUAGGGACUGGACAGUAACUUUGGUGCUACUAACAGCCUUUACAUACAACCAGAGUUUCUUUGGGUUCUGUGAAAGAUUAGUUGGUCUGCAAAGUGAGAGUUUGGAAUAGAUCAUGGCUAAAACAACACGUGACAGAAAUAAAGUGCUCUGAAAAUUAUGAGCAAAGGUAAGAAGUUUGUUAUUAGAAGACUGUAAGAGGGGCGAGCCACUGAUGACGACAAGGGUUUGCAACCAGCGCCACAGAAGACAGGAGGAGAACUCAUGGAAUAAUUAUGUCAUAUUCUUUGAUGUGUUAGUGUCUGUGGUGAUUGUAAAAAAUACAAAUGAGCAAUUGAAUAUAGAGUGCUAUGCAAAUUCGUGUAUUGGACGCGCUUGAGACUAGGGACUUUUGAAUUACUUCAUAUCUUGGCUAUGAAAGAAACAAGACACAUGUAUGCUAUUUGAAUAUGUGUAAAUAAGUCUAACGUGUAAGGAAUAAGUUAGCUUGCAGAAGUUAUUAUCUGUGAAAGUUGAAAAUAUAAAGUGAUUGAACUGAAAAGUAUUAUACCAGUACCAAAAUUAUUUCAAGGAUAGAGAAGUAUUUUAAUAAAUUCCCUUAACCAGCUAUCGUCUUCAGAGAAGAAGCUUGUGGGAAAUCGACAUAGCUGAUUACCCAGAGAAGAGGAUCAGCUACACACAACGAGCAAGUUAACUGAAUUGAGAGGCAUAUGUGCCUUGCAACCCAAUACCACACUGUCUCUUGUCGUCUGAAAAACAUUAGAGUAGUCAUGUACAGAUGUGAAAUAUGGAUAAUAAAUAGUUUAGACAAGAAGAAAAUAGAAGCUUUCGAAAUGGUGUGCUACAGGAGAAUGUUGAAGAUUAGAUGGGUAGAUCAUGUAACUAAAGAGGAGGUACUGAAUAGAACUGGGGAGAAGAGGAAUUUGUAUCACAACUUGUCUAGAAGAAGGGAUCGGUUGGUAGGACAUGUUCUGAGGCAUCAAGGGAUCACCAGUUUAGUAUUUGAGGGCAGUAUGGAGGGUAAAAAUCAUUGAGGGAGACCAAGAGAUGAAUACACUAAGCAGAUUCAGAAGGAUGUAGAGUGCAGUAGUUACUUGGAAAUGAAGAAGCUUGCACAGGAUAGAGUAGCAUGGAGAGCUGCAUCAAACCAGUCUCUGGACGGAAGACCACGACAACAACACAACUGUAUUGUACAGAUUAGUAAAUUAUUAAACAUUUUAGCACUGUCAUCAUGUAAAUUGUGCUGGUAUCAUGUCUCAAGAUCUUUCUGCAUCAGAGUCAAACAGUGUAAUCUCCAAGUUGGAAUAUCAACAAUAUUAGAAAAAGGAUAGACUGCUACUCACUGUGAAGAUAA